rnacentral:rRNA from 1 species
UUACGGCGUGGACUACCAGGGUAUCUGGUCCUGUUCGCUCCCCACGCUUUCGCGCCUCAGCGUCAUUUACAGACCAGASAGCCGCCUUCGCCACUGGUGUUCCUCCACAUCUCUACGCAUUUCACCGCUACACGUGGAAUUCCGCUCUCCUCUUCUGCACUCAAGUUCCCCAGUUUCCAAUGACCCUCCCCGGUUGAACCGGGGGCUUUCACAUCAGACUUAAGGAACCGCCUGCDCGCNCUUUACGCCCAAUAAUUCCGGACAACGCUUGCCACCUACGUAUUACCGCGGCUGCUGGCACGUAUUAGCCGUGGCUUUCUGGUCAGGUACCGUCAAGGUACCGGCANUUACUCCGAUACUUGUUCUUCCCUGACAACAGAACUUUACAACCCGAAACCUUCAUCGUUCACNCGGCGUUGCUCCGUCAGACUUUCGUCCAUUGCGGAANAUUCCCUACUGCUGCCUCCCGUAGANUCUGGGCCGUGUCUCANUCCCAGUGUGGCCNAUCACCCUSUCAGGUCGGCUACNCAUCGUU